rnacentral:rRNA from 1 species
AUUGAACGCUGGCGGCAUGCUUUACACAUGCAAGUCGAACGGCAGCACGGACUUCGGUCUGGUGGCGAGUGGCGAACGGGUGAGUAAUUCAUCGGAACGUACCCAGUAAUGGGGGAUAACUAUCCGAAAGGAUAGCUAAUACCGCAUACGCCCUACGGGGGAAAGAGGGGGAUCGCAAGACCUCUUGUUAUUGGAGCGGCCGAUGGCUGAUUAGCUAGUUGGUGAGGUAAAGGCUCACCAAGGCGACGAUCAGUAGCGGGUCUUAGAGGACGAUCCGCCACACUGGAACUGAGACAGGGUCCAGACUCCUACGGGAGGCAGCAGUGGGGAAUCUUGGACAAUGGGCGCAAGCCUGAUCCAGCAAUGCCGCGUGCGUGAAGAAGGCCUUCGGGUUGUAAAGCGCUUUUGUCAGGGAGCAAAUCCUUGUGGCUAAUACCCACCGGGGAUGAGAGUACCUGAAGAAUAAGGACCGGCUAACUACGUGCCAGCCGCCGCCGUAACAC